UGAACGCUAGCUACAGGCUUAACACAUGCAAGUCGAGGGGAAACGAUAGAGAAAGCUUGCUUUUUCUAGGCGUCGACCGGCGCACGGGUGAGUAACGCGUAUCCAACCUGCCCAUCACUUGGGGAUAACCUUGCGAAAGUAAGACUAAUACCCAAUGAUAUCUCUAGAAGACAUCUGAAAGAGAUUAAAGAUUUAUCGGUGAUGGAUGGGGAUGCGUCUGAUUAGCUUGUUGGCGGGGUAACGGCCCACCAAGGCAUCGAUGGGUAGGGGUUCUGAGAGGAAGGUCCCCCACAUUGGAACUGAGACACGGUCCAAACUCCUACGGGAGGCAGCAGUGAGGAAUAUUGGUCAAUGGACGCAAGUCUGAACCAGCCAAGUAGCGUGCAGGAUGACGGCCCUCUGGGUUGUAAACUGCUUUUAGUUGGGAAUAAAGUGCACCACGUGUGGUGUUUUGUAUGUACCAUCAGAAAAAGGACCGGCUAAUUCCGUGCCAGCAGCCGCGGUAAUACGGAAGGUCCAGGCGUUAUCCGGAUUUAUUGGGUUUAAAGGGAGCGCAGGCGGACCUUUAAGUCAGCUGUGAAAUACGGCGGCUCAACCGUCGAACUGCAGUUGAUACUGGAGGUCUUGAGUGCACACAGGGAUACUGGAAUUCAUGGUGUAGCGGUGAAAUGCUCAGAUAUCAUGAAGAACUCCGAUCGCGAAGGCAGGUAUCCGGGGUGCAACUGACGCUGAGGCUCGAAAGUGCGGGUAUCAAACAGGAUUAGAUACCCUGGUAGUCCGCACAGUAAACGAUGAAUACUCGCGAUUUGCGAUACACAGUAAGUCGCCAAGCGAAAGCGUUAAGUAUUCCACCUGGGGAGUACGCCGGCAACGGUGAAACUCAAAGGAAUUGACGGAA
rnacentral:rRNA from 1 species